UACCAGCACCCCCGAGUGGUCGGGAUGAUUAUUGGGCCUAAGGCAUCCGUAGCCGGUCUUGUAAGUCUUCCGUUAAAUCCACCUGCUCAACAGUUGGGCUGCGGGAGAUACUGCAGGACUAGGAGGCGGGAGAGGCGAGGGGUAUUCCUUGGGUAGGGGUAAAAUCCUCUGAUCCAUGGAGGACCACCAGUGGCGAAGGCGUCUCGCCAGAACGCGCUCGACGGUGAGGGAUGAAAGCUGGGGGA
rnacentral:rRNA from 1 species